UUUACCUUACGACUUUUAGCCACACAGAGAUAAACUUUAGGGCGUAGAAGGAAGUAGGACAGUAAUAGUGUUUUAUUGUUUUAUUUGGAUAUCAGUUGGUGUUCAUAUAUACAAUUUGGCAACGUAAUAAAGCAAGAAAAUAUAAUUGUCUAUAAUUUCAUUUUUUAUGUAAAAGAUAUUGAAAGUAUAUAUUAAACUUAGAAACAGUGGUUUUCAAAUCGAAAGUAGAAACAGGUUCAAACACAAUUUCACAAUGGCUUCUAAAAGAUUUGUGGAUUCAAAUCGAGACAAUGCAGGCGACUUUAUUGGAGAAAGUGCUGUGACACAAUCAUGCGAGCCCUGUAUGAAAUCAAACAUAUCAAAAACUGCUACGGUUUUCUGCAAGGAUUGUGAUGAGUUCUUGUGUGAUGCGUGCACAAAUCCGCAUAGGGUAUAUAAGCCUGGUCAGCAUAAUAUUGUCAAUGUACAGGACCAUAAAUCUGCGCCCGUAAUACUCGACAUGAAAGGAAUGGACAAGUGCCAUGAGCAUGGACGAGAAAUAGAGUUUUUCUGCCAGGAUCAUUCUAAGCUUUGUUGCCUUUCAUGCGUUCUUAUUCACCGGAAAUGUGACAAAUUGGAUGAAAUAGCCAAAGUAUCCAGACAAACACGACCCGACCUGCAAGCAUUAAAACAAUCAUUGAUAAAAAUGCAAUCCGAGGCUGACGCUUUUAUAGCGGAUUGUAAGCAGUCGGAAACUGGCUUAAAUGAGUCCAUUGCAAAGAUUUCUGCAGAGGUGGAUACAAUGAAAGAUCGUAUCAUACAACUAUUUGAAGAAGCAAAGCAGAAAUUAAUAAGUGAGGCAAUACAGUUUAAAACUGCAAAAGUCAAACGAAUCGGGAAUAAAUGUGACGCCUCGCUCAAAGUUAAGGAAGAACUAAACAAUGUAUUGUCGAUGUGUUGUGUCGUUUUAGAACGUGGAACGCCCAGUCAACAGUAUAUUUAUUCAGAACAAAUGAAGGAGAAACGGAAAACUAUCGAAUCAACUAUAGAUGAACAAAGAAAGAUUACAUUCUCAUCAACAAUGACAGUGUCUUUUCCAAAACAGGUUACUUCACUUCUUGAGAUGGGAAGCAAUUCUAUAAAACUGAAUUAUGAUGUCAACAAGACAGUGGACACCAGUAGCAUCAGCUUGUCGUCCCCACCAAGGCCUGUCACCCUGGAGUUGCUUGUAUCCGUGGAUCUACACAAGACUGGAGAUGAUGAGAGGGAGCCUCUCCUCAGUGGACUGGACUUCCUGCCGGACGGGAGACUGGUAGCCGUGGAUAACAAGAACAAGAAAUGUAUCAUACUGAAUGAGCGACUACAGAGACUUGGAACACCGUACAAGUUCAAGAGUACCCCACGUGGCGUAGUAUGUGUGUCUCAUGAUACACUGUGUGUAACGGGUGGUGGUAAAGUAGUAUGUCUCCUGUAUGUGAGUACAGACAAUACCAUCACACUGACCAGGAAGAUCAAUACAACAUCACUGUUCUUCUCUAUAUGCUGCAUGUCUCCAUCUAACAUGGUCAUGAGUACGUACGAUGAUCCCCGUCCUGUGAGAAUGAUAUCAGUGGACGGGGUAGAGUCAGACUUUGAUCACUUCCUGACGUUUCCUAUGAAGACUUACAAAUUAGAUGAGAGUGCGUGCACGUAUGUCCAGUCUAAGAACACGUUAGUACUGACUGACAGGUACGCUCACACUGUGUACAUGAACGACACCGUGAAUGGCACAUCUAGAGCAGUCACUAAUGAGAACAUACAGAAGCCUCGUGGUGCCUGUGUAGGGCCUGGUGACACGGUGCUGGUGUGUAGUAAGGGUAAGAACUUCAUCGUGCACCUGAGUGUUGAUGGAAACAUUAUCGGUACCUACCCAGUGGAUAUGCGGAAUCCGUACAGCAUAUUUUUGUCUAAGAACGGCACUAGGCUGGCGUUGUCUAACAUUGCUCAUGGCACCACGAAACUUCAGUUGUUUAAGAUAUCACCGGCAAUGCGUUAGGUGACUAGUAAGACGUGAUCCAUGUGAUCAUGCAAUGAUCUACCAUCAUAUAUAUUAUAAAUGUUCGGGUAUGGUGAUGUUUAAAUAAAUACGGUAUACACUUAAAAUAACGUCAUUGUUUUACAAAAUACACGGUGCUGGUGUGCAGUAUUAGGAAGCACUCCAUCGUGCACCUGAGUGUUGAUGGGAACAUGCUCGGUACCUACCCAGUGAAUAUGAAGUUUCCUUACAGCAUAUGUGUGUCUAAGGAUGGUACUAGGCUGGCAGUGUCCAACAGAGAACUAGGCUACAAAAAUACACGGUGCUGGUGUGCAGUAAGAAUAACAACUCCAUCGUGCAUCUGAGUGUUGAUGGAACCAUUCGCGGUACCUACCCAGUGAAUAUGAAGCUUCCUUACAGCAUAUGUGUGUCUAAGGAUGGUACUAGGCUGGCAGUGUCCAACAAAUGUACAGGCAUCAAGAAACUUCACUUGUAUAAGAUAUCACCGGCCAUGAGUUAGAUGACUAGUAAGAUGUUAUCCAUGUGAUCAGGCUUUAUACACAAUUAUUUAAUAUUGAUUUUCGUGAAUUGAUGUGGUUAAAUCAACUCGUUAUACUAUUAUGUUUAAAGAAAAUUGAAUAGUGUUGUUAUAAGGUUUAAUCGUUGAAGAAUUUCGAAAUAUUUCGAACCAGCUAUGUAUUGUGCAUUUGUUAUUAUGUAAACACGUGUUUGUAUACAUAACUUCAAGAAAUGUUGCAUUGUAUAUUUGAAUUAUUUUAAAUGUAUUGUGUAUGUAAUGCUAUUUAUAUUUGCCUUUCAUGCAACUUAACGGUGUGUACGGUAGUUAGGCGCGUUAAGUAUUUCUAAAUGAAUGUUGUUGUUUUUUUACAUUAUUAUGCAUAUAUUUUCUUAAAGGGUCCGUCCAACAGAUUUUGGCAUGUAUUGAAGCAUGUCAAUAAAUGCUUUAUAUUGAGAAAUUUAAACAUUUAACCUAAAAAUCUCCAGUAAAAGAAACACAAGAAUACAAUGUAAAAAAAGGAAAAAAAUAACCCUCAACAGGGCUCGAACCACGGACCCCUUGAGUCCUGGAGUAAAAAGUCUUCCGCAUUGACCACUCUAGUACUCUACCAUCCAUGCUCAUGCUUAGAGCGGAUGUAUUUUUUACCUUAGUAUAUAAGCAAUCCUCAUAGUUUCCCACAAUAUAACUACAACAACAGAACUUUCUAAAUUAUUCAAUCGUUUCGCGUCGCACGACGCUUUAUGAUUUUCAGGUUUUCAAAUCGUCAAAAGAUGCAUAUUAUAGAUAUUUAAGAGCAUGGUAAAUGGUCAGUAUUACUAUUUCCUCAAAAAUAUCAUAACAAAAACGAAAAUUUGCGAAUCUGAAACAACUUUUUAAAUUUUUGUCAACUUACCAAUCUGUUGGACGGCCCCUUUAAAGCCACACAUCUUGAAAUGAAAUACAUGGCAUAGUAAAUUUAAGAAUAAAUAAGAAACAUUUUUUAUCUAUGCCAAUUAGAAUAUAUCUGGUGGUUACAAGUUAUAAAUCCGCCUCUUUUGCGCUUUAAAAUAAUCGCGUUUGUCGAAAUGGACAUAUACGUCUAGAAAUCCUACUUUCAGUUUUAAAAUCGGCACCGUUUGAAAAAUAACAAAUUACUUGCUAACGAAGAUAUAGAUUUAAUUUUAUCUAUCUCAAUUAAAAUAUGUCUGAUGGUUACAACAUAGAAAUCCGUCUUUUUGCGCUUAAAAACUUACAAAUAAUCGCGUUUGUCGAAAUGUACGUAUACGUAUAGAAAUCCUACUUUCAGUUAUAAAAUAUAAACAAAACAAAUUUAUUACUUGCUAGCUAGGCUAUAGAUUUAAUGACAAUUUUGCACACUUUCAAGUUGCAUCUAUAUGUAUUGAUUAACAUGUACUUCAUUUCAAGGUGUGUGGCUUUAAUACCAUGCAAGGAAUUGUGCGUUCUCUCAAAAUAAUGCUUGUUUUUGUUUAACGUACAUUGGCUACUAUAUGUGAGAGGGAAUGGGAAAAUGACUAUUCUGGCUCAAGAAUCAUAAAAUGAGAUUUUUAUUUUUUGAAACAAAAGGACUAUUCAAUAACCUAAAUCUAAAAUUUGAGCGUACAAAUCCAAAAAAUAAAAAAGUUAUGACGAUUUUCCUACAUAAGGUGCAACUGAAGAAAUGGGAAACCUGAGAAACAUCAAGCUGUUACUUUUAAAUAAUUUAUUUACAAGUUAAUGUAAACAUUCAAUGUUAACAACUUCAAACCAACAAACAAGUAAUGGAAUAAAUCUACUGCAACCCAGAACAUAUUAUUCCUUUAAGAUGAUUCCAUAACAAUCUCAAAUUAACUCUUAAAACGGUUGCCAUGGCAACCGUGGUAAAAAUAUACCUUAAAUGGUUGAAAUGAUAAAACUAAACAUUUUGUAGUAUUUAAACAAAUAUGUUAGGAGAGAAAUACAUUGAACCUGCUUUAAAAGCCUUUAUUUUGAUACAUAGAGUAACAAUACUGAACCGGGUUGCAUUAUUUGGACAUUUUAAAGUAUGUUAUAAUGUGUUAAAUAUUAAGUUUUUUUCACCAUAACAUACAAAUUAAGAUGAGUCUUUUUAAAGAUUCCAUGGAGUGUAAGCCUAUAACUGUAUAAUAUAUAUAUAAAUAUACUUUUUAUUUGUUGUUGUAAACUGGACCUAUUAAUAAAUAACCUUAAUAAUUUUCCUGUUGCUAUGGAAACACAACUUGAAUUGUUAUUCUUUCCGCCUUAUAUAAUCGAAUAAAGGUGGCAUUAUCUCUUUUCAACAAAUAAAUGGCAAACAUUAUAAACACAUGUAUGAUCACACAUUCAAAUAGGUUGGUAUGCACAUCUUUAAAACGAAAAUUUAAAACAAUAUUUACAUUAUAUAUUAUAUUAUAAUGAUAAACAAAAGUCGACUAGGACUAGAAUUUCCAGCAUGUCACCUGUGCCUGUAAAUAGUCUUAGAAGCCUUGUAUCGUUAUAAUGUAAUGGAUACUAUAAAAAGCCGUUAAUGUCA